GAUGAACGCUAGCUACAGGCUUAACACAUGCAAGUCGAGGGGCAGCAUGGUCUUAGCUUGCUAAGGCCGAUGGCGACCGGCGCACGGGUGAGUAACACGUAUCCAACCUGCCGUCUACUCUUGGACAGCCUUCUGAAAGGAAGAUUAAUACAAGAUGGCAUCAUGAGUCCGCAUGUUCACAUGAUUAAAGGUAUUCCGGUAGACGAUGGGGAUGCGUUCCAUUAGAUAGUAGGCGGGGUAACGGCCCACCUAGUCUUCGAUGGAUAGGGGUUCUGAGAGGAAGGUCCCCCACAUUGGAACUGAGACACGGUCCAAACUCCUACGGGAGGCAGCAGUGAGGAAUAUUGGUCAAUGGGCGAGAGCCUGAACCAGCCAAGUAGCGUGAAGGAUGACUGCCCUAUGGGUUGUAAACUUCUUUUAUAAAGGAAUAAAGUCGGGUAUGGAUACCCGUUUGCAUGUACUUUAUGAAUAAGGAUCGGCUAACUCCGUGCCAGCAGCCGCGGUAAUACGGAGGAUCCGAGCGUUAUCCGGAUUUAUUGGGUUUAAAGGGAGCGUAGAUGGAUAUUUAAGUCAGUUGUGAAAGUUUGCGGCUCAACCGUAAAAUUGCAGUUGAUACUGGAUAUCUUGAGUGCAGUUGAGGCAGGCGGAAUUCGUGGUGUAGCGGUGAAAUGCUUAGAUAUCACGAAGAACUCCGAUUGCGAAGGCAGCCUGCUAAGCUGCAACUGACAUUGAGGCUCGAAAGUGUGGGUAUCAAACAGGAUUAGAUACCCUGGUAGUCCACACGGUAAACGAUGAAUACUCGCUGUUUGCGAUAUACUGCAAGCGGCCAAGCGAAAGCGUUAAGUAUUCCACCUGGGGAGUACGCCGGCAACGGUGAAACUCAAAGGAAUUGACGGGGGCCCGCACAAGCGGAGGAACAUGUGGUUUAAUUCGAUGAUACGCGAGGAACCUUACCCGGGCUUAAAUUGCAGAUGAAUUACGGUGAAAGCCGUAAGCCGCAAGGCAUCUGUGAAGGUGCUGCAUGGUUGUCGUCAGCUCGUGCCGUGAGGUGUCGGCUUAAGUGCCAUAACGAGCGCAACCCUUGUUGUCAGUUACUAACAGAUUCCGCUGAGGACUCUGACAAGACUGCCAUCGUAAGAUGUGAGGAAGGUGGGGAUGACGUCAAAUCAGCACGGCCCUUACGUCCGGGGCUACACACGUGUUACAAUGGGGGGUACAGAGGGCCGCUACCACGCGAGUGGAUGCCAAUCCCCAAAACCUCUCUCAGUUCGGACUGGAGUCUGCAACCCGACUCCACGAAGCUGGAUUCGCUAGUAAUCGCGCAUCAGCCACGGCGCGGUGAAAUACGUUCCCGGGCCCU
rnacentral:rRNA from 1 species